rnacentral:rRNA from 1 species
GACGAACGCUGGCGGCGUGCCUAAUACAUGCAAGUGGGACGCAAGGAAACACACUGUGCUUGCACACCGUGUUUUCUUGAGUCGCGAACGGGUGAGUAACGCGUAGGUAACCUGCCUAUUAGCGGGGGAUAACUAUUGGAAACGAUAGCUAAUAUCGCAUAAUAUUAAUUAUUGCAUGAUAAUUGAUUGAAAGAUGCAAGCGCAUCACUAGUAGAUGGACCUGCGUUGUAUUAGCUAGUUGGUAAGGUAAGAGCUUACCAAGGCGACGAUACAUAGCCGACCUGAGAGGGUGAUCGGCCACACUGGGACUGAGACACGGCCCAGACUCCUACGGGAGGCAGCAGUAGGGAAUCUUCGGCAAUGGACGAAAGUCUGACCGAGCAACGCCGCGUGAGUGAAGAAGGUUUUCGGAUCGUAAAGCUCUGUUGUAAGUCAAGAACGUGUGUGAGAGUGGAAAGUUCACACAGUGACGGUAGCUUACCAGAAAGGGACGGCUAACUACGUG